UACAGAGGGUGCAAGCGUUGUUCGGAAUCAUUGGGCGUAAAGGGCGUGUAGGCGGUUUGUUAAGUCAUGUGUGAAAUCCCUCGGCUCAACCGGGGAACGACGCAUGAAACUGGCAAGCUAGAGUACCAAAGAGGGGGGUGGAAUUCCCGGUGUAGCGGUGAAAUGCGUAGAGAUCAUGAGGAAGACCAGUGGCGAAGGCGGGUCUCUGGACAGUUCCUGACACUGAGCACGAAGGCCAGGGGAGCAAACGGG
rnacentral:rRNA from 1 species